CCCUGCUUGCAAAAGAAAAUUUGGUUUAAACCGAUGAGAUCUUACGUUUUAAUCUUUAGGUAAGAAAUAUUGUUGCCCCUUGUUAUGGCUAUCUAGCAUUUGUGUCGAACCUAUGAGAGAUGAUUAACUUCAAGCCAAAUAUGAAACAAAAGAAAAAGGUGCUGGAUUAUAACUUACUUCGUGUGUCCGGAAAACAGUGGUGAAAGCGUUUAGCUCCAUCCAUCGCAAGAGCAGCUCUUCACUUCUUUGAUAUUUGAUGAAAGGCAAG